AGUGAACGCUGGCGGUAGGCCUAACACAUGCAAGUCGAACGGCAGCACAGUAAGAGCUUGCUCUUACGGGUGGCGAGUGGCGGACGGGUGAGGAAUACAUCGGAAUCUACUUUUUCGUGGGGGAUAACGUAGGUAAACUUACGCUAAUACCGCAUACGACCUACGGGUGAAAGCAGGGGAUCUUCGGACCUUGCGCGUUUGAAUGAGCCGAUGUCGGAUUAGCUAGUUGGCGGGGUAAAGGCCCACCAAGGCGACGAUCCGUAGCUGGUCUGAGAGGAUGAUCAGCAACACUGGAACUGAGACACGGUCCAGACUCCUACGGGAGGCAGCAGUGGGGAAUAUUGGACAAUGGGCGCAAGCCUGAUCCAGCCAUACCGCGUGGGUGAAGAAGGCCUGCGGGUUGUAAAGCCCUUUUGUUGGGAAAGAAAAGCAGCAGGUUAAUACCCCGCUGUUCUGACGGUACCAAAAGAAUAAGCACCGGCUAACUUCGUG
rnacentral:rRNA from 1 species